UCAAUCCAACCCCCCUGCCUUAAUUGCGGAUCACCUAGUGCCGUUUUUCGAGGUCGAGAGUCUUCCGUGUUAAANCGGAGCACUCUCGUUAAAUCGUCCGUGGGUACGGUCGUACGUAGGGCGUCUCUUAGUUGAGGCGCGGUGCGUGCGGCUCGGCGGGCCUCGAAUGUGUUUUUACCCACGAACCUCAAACCCCUUGACUUUUUACGUAUCCGAUCUGUCGCCGUNGACGUUCCCUUCGGGAGACGCCGCCUGCGCAGAGUCAAUCUAAAAGCGAACAACUUUUAACGGUGGAUCUCUUGGCUCGUGCAUCGAUGAAGAACGCAGCAAACUGCGAUAAGUAAUGUGAAUUGCAGAAUUCAGUGAAUCAUCGAAUCUUUGAACGCAAAUGGCGCUCUUGGGAUCUUCCCAGGAGCACGCCUGUCUGAGCGUCGUUUCUCACGUCCCUACCCCAAGGGGCCUUGAAUCGUCCCGUUGAACACUUCAGUGCUCGACCGGUCAUUUGAAAUGAAGCGAACCCGAGCUGUCCGAAGCGUCCCCGCGACGUGUGCUCCUCGGUGUGGUAGAUUUAUCUAAAACAUUCGAGGGCCGCGUGGUGGGAGCGUCCGAAGGCUAGCAUUCGUGGCCGUAUCUGGCGG
rnacentral:misc_RNA from 1 species